UUUAUUAAGGAGAAAAAAUAAGCUGGUAGUAGGCAAAAUAUUAUUUGAGGGCUGAAACGAUCUCAACCUAUUCUCAAACUUUCAAUGGGUAAGAAGCCCGGCUCACUGGCUUGGAGCUGGGCAUGGAAUGCAAAUGCCUAGUGGACCACUUUUGGCAAGCAGAACUGGUGCUGGAGGAUGAAUCG
rnacentral:ncRNA from 1 species